GACGAACGCUGGCGGCGUGCUUAACACAUGCAAGUCGAACGAGGAAGCCGGAGCUUGCUCUGGUGAAUUAGUGGCGAACGGGUGAGUAACACGUGAGUAACCUGCCCUUGACUCUGGGAUAACUGCUAGAAAUGGUAGCUAAUACCGGAUACGACCCUCGGAGGCAUCUCCAGGGGGUGGAAAGAAUUUCGGUCAAGGAUGGACUCGGGGCCUAUAAGCUAGUUGGUGAGGUAACGGCUCGCCAAGGCGACGACGGGUAGCCGGCCUGAGAGGGUGACCGGACAGCCUGGGACUGAGAGACGGCACAGACUCCUACGGGAGGCGGGCGUGGGGAGCAUUGACCAAUGAGCGCACGCCUGGUGCGGCAACGCCGCGUGGGGGAUGAAGGCCUUCGGGUUGUAAACCUCUUUUAGUAGGGAAGAAGCGGAAGUGACGGUACCUGCAGAAAAAGCACCGGCUAACUACGUGCCAGCCGCCGCCGUAA
rnacentral:rRNA from 1 species